GCCGCCCGGUUUUCCCCAGUGAGCUUCGCGUCCUCCUAAACCACUCCCGAGUCCGAGUCCCGGCCUCUCUGUUUUUCUUGCCGGGCUACCGGCGUUGAUCGCCGCUCUCCUCCGCAGGACAUCAUCGCCAUCACAGCUCCGUCGUGUACCCGAAAACCAGUCGGCCGCCAAGUUCUCCGUCUGCUGCUCGUCUUCGCCUGUUCUCACGCGUUCGUCAUCUGUACAUGAUCCUCGUCCACCAGGCCAUGCUUGCACUUCGUGUUCCGACGUUGUUCAUCUCGCUCCGUCGUUUUUCCCUGCCGCGCGUCCGUGGCCGCCUCCCCGCCUCCAUCCAUCGCCCGGCAGAUUCACCUCCUCGCCAUCAUCUGUGUAUUCUUCUUCGUCCGCUGCAGCCAAAGAUCCUGUGGACGCCAUCGACCUUUUUCCUCGACGAGCCAAGAUCUGCAGCGAGUCAACGUCCAACAUCAGUUUCGUCAGCUAUCGCGUGUACACGCAGUCAGGUCGCUGCGUAUGUUUCUUUGGUUCCAGUACUCCACUUCAUCGUGAUCUGAAGCCAGCCAAACUGUCGGGCCCGCAGAUCAGCGUCCCAGACUAGGUUUCUAUCCGGUGCAAACAUCUCCGACGCCCCGCUGCUGCGUCAGCGCCCAGUCAGCACCUCCCUGGCCCGCGCGUCAGCCGCCCAGGAUAGCUUCAACCUGGCAUUUGCUUCUUCGCGGAUAGGAUCACGAAGUGGUGCUGUGAGAUACGAC